rnacentral:lncRNA from 1 species
AGCUGGGAUUACAGGCAUGCGCCACUAUGCCUGGCUAUUUUUGUAUUUUUAGUGGAGGCAGGGUAUCUCCAUGUUGGUCAGGCCGGUCUCGAACUCCCGACCUCAGGUGAUCUGCCCACCUCAGCCUCCCAAAGUGCUGGGAAUACAGGCGUGAGCCACCGCGCCUGGCCGGCUGACUACAAAUUUUUUAAGUGACCAUUUAAAAAGUGAAAUUUUCAUCUUGUUUGGCAUCAAUCAAUAGUUCUUUUGUUGACUCCAGCUACCUAUUACAGCUGCUUUUUGGAAGAAAAUCGGUUAUAAAUAGUUUAAAUUAAGCUAAGUUAAAUGAGUACAACUGCUUCUCUUGAGUUCUGCUCGGUAACAAUAACUAUCUUAGAAAGGCUUAAGAAAAAUAUUGUAAAGAACCUUCAGUAUAAAAAGCGUAGAUGAACUUUGUGAAUGUAUGCCAUUGAUUGAAUACCUUUUGAUCUUACUGUGCAUACUAACUUUCUUGAUGUAAAUAUUUAGUGCGAUAUAAAUAUUUAGUGCGUGAUUUCCAUAGCAGAUGACAAGUUUAUAUUGAUUAUAACAUGGUCUCGGUUGAUAUUUUUCUGACAAGUAAGUUUAGAUCAUGUUUGGAUUUUGUUUCCUAUUACCUAGAGCCAACACAGAUCUAUAGAUUUCUUUGAACUCGGAAUCUCAUAGCAGUAAGUAGUCAACAAAAUUCAUCAAUAUUAUUUCUCUCUUAUAACUGCAUCUGUAUUCAAUUUUAACAUUUUUAAAACUCUUUUUGUAGCCAAUAUUUUUGCACAGAACUCUUACUUACAUGUCUCAUCGAAACUCCAGAACAAACAUCAAAAGGAAAACAUUUAAAGUUGAUGAUAUGUUAUCAAAAGUAGAGAAAAUGAAAGGAGAGCAAGAAUCUCAUAGCUUGUCAGCUCAUUUGCAGCUUACAUUUUUGGUUUCUUCCACAAAAAUGAUAAGCCAUCACCAAACUCAGAAAAUGAACAAAAUUCUGUUACCCUGGAAGUCCUGCUUGUGAAAGUUUGCCACAAAAAAAGAAAGGAUGUAUGUUGUCCAAUAAGGCAAGUUCCCACAGGUAAAAAGCAGGUGCCUUUGAAUCCUGACCUCAAUCAAACAAAACCUGGAAAUUUCCCGUCCCUUGCAGUUUCCAGUAAUGAAUUUGAACCUAGUAACAGCCACAUGGUGAAGUCUUACUCGUUGCUAUUUAGAGUGACUCGUCCAAGAAGAAGAGAGUUUAAUGGAAUGAUUAAUGGAGAAACCAUGAAAAUAUUGGUAAUUUUUUUUUUUACUAGAUUUUAUCACUGGAGAUUAAGAUGGUCAUUGAAAAUGAUUGUACCAGUGUUCCUUCAUGAUAGUCAUGGUGCUGAGUCUUAAAGCAAACAGUGAAUUCACCUCCACCUCAACAUUUUGUUGUGCAAAUUUUCAAACAUAAAGGACAAUGAGAAGUAUUUUAUAGUGAACACUUAUCUACUUACCUCUUAGAUUCAACAAUGAAUAUUUUAUUAUACUUGUUGCAUAUUUAUCCCCCUACCCAUCCCUCUUUUCUUCCAACAAUUGUGAAUUCAUCUUUGAGGUAUUCAUUCAACAAACACAUAGGUGCUGGGGAUGAUUUAAUUUAAUCGAAGAUGAUUAAAGCAUUCAGUCCUGUCCUCCAAAGUCUCACAACCUAGUGUAGGGAAAUAGACAUGAAAUAUAUCAUUGCUGCAAAAUGAUGAGUGGCAUAAUACAGGUAUAUGUGAAGUUCAGCAGAGAAACACGUUGGAAGAAAUAAUCUUUGACUCUUGAAGUAUUGUUUGAAGUUUUUGGGAGUUACCACGAGUGAGAAGGAGUUUGCCUAGCAAAGAUAAUUCUAAACAGAAACAUUAGCAUUUGCAAAGAUGUGGGGUUAAUGUUGUGAGUGUUAAAAAGAACAUAUAGUAAAAAUGCAAAAUUGGAAACGUGGUCUGUAUAUUAUUGCAACUUUAGUGUAAUUCCUACCUCAUUUGGGAUAAAUGUAGCAUGUUUUAUGUUAAGGGACCAUAUAUCGUAACACAUUUUUGUUCUAAUAUUUGAUUUAUGAGAAAUGUUUGUUAAAUUUAGAUGUCAGUGAAGAGCUUCCAGCCAGAAGAAAAUGAAAUCGUGAGGAUGGGGAAAAGACAUUUGUUGCACAAAUGACAGUAUUUGAUAAAAACAGGUAAUGUUGAUGAACAAGCGAGGCUCCCACAAUGUUCUGGAAAUGUUUUCAUUCUGAAGCAGAAUAUAAUUAUUUAUAUUGAUUAUUUCAUUGCCUUUGUUUCUUUUUAUUCUUACGGAUG